CUUUAUCAACCCCUGGGGACAUAUAUUAAGCGCUAUAAUGCGUGACCCAAAAAUAGGAAAAUCUUUAAAAAUCAGGCCCUUUCUGCUGUUUUUUUUUUGCUGAGCUCCGGCAGCGGCUGCUGUCCUGUGCUGCAGCACGGGGAACAUGCGAUCCGACCCCUGCUGGUGGCACCAGCGAUGGCAGCGGUCCGCCUGCGAGGGCUCCCUUCCAGCGCCUGGAGAGCAGGAGGAGAUGUGCCUCCAGAGCCGCUUGUUCCUAGCGGGGAUGCUGCAAAGCGCAUCUCCAGCUGCAGCAGAAAUCCCGGGCUAGCAAAAAGAGGAGCUGGUGGGUGUAUAAAUGCUGACUUAAUGAACAGAAAAAGAUCUGACACUAUUUUGACACAUGCCUCAAGUGAUUCCGAUUUACACUCAUAGAGCUUUGAUUUUUUUCCCUGUCUUUAGCUUAACUCUUUUCCUUUCCCUCUUAUUGUUGCUGUGAUCGUAAUGCUUUUCCUAUCCCCCUGCUUACUCCCUCGCCUCCCAUGAUCUUUAUCAUCACACUGAUAUUUAAAUGCAAUCUAACAGACUUGCUGCAUCAGUCCCAGGCUGCAGGAGAGCAGGAUGUGCGCCCCGAGCAAGCACGCGCGCAGCAAAAGCGCACCAAAAGAGCAGCUGCCAUCCAGCAGAGGGGUCUGACACAUCGGGCAGAAGGUGACUGCGAAGUAACCGUGCUGAUAGCCAGGGUGAGGGGAAGACGGGUGGGAAGAAACGUGAUCUGCCCAGAGAGUUCAGUGCUGCGAACUGAUGGAGCGACCUCAGAGAGGUGGCAGAAAAAGACAGCGCUCGCUAUCGCUGCUCUGGGAGAGAGUGGGGGACCCCAAAACACCACCCACUUGCAGAACGACACCAUCCUAGAUUCACACGUAAGCUGUCACAUUGCUGGGGCACAAGGGGAUGCAAUCUGUUCAGGGCUGGGUGCAUCUGGAGCCUGGGCUGGUGGAGCUCUCACGCUGCCAGUGCAGGUGUUGGAGCCAGUCCACCACGUUUCUUCCCUUCCUAGCAUCUCUCCGUGGCCUGGGUUCAUGCUUGGCCCCUCUCUGCUGGUUGCACGAAGACUAUAA
rnacentral:lncRNA from 1 species